CCGAGAGUGGUUCGAUGUGCAUGCUUGGAAGAGCCGGUCAAUGCCGGCAGUGCCGUAUAAAGGGCCGGAUUACACGGUGUCCAUUUCAGGGUGUACAAGGAACUGGUGUUUGCGUUUGUAUAUUUCCCGAUCAUCGGCGAUGUUCAAAACAGCGAGAAGUUUCGCCGAAUCGACGCAGGAAUACUCGGAAACAACAGAAACCAGGGAAUUGUAGAAGCAAACAAGGACUCAUCAUACGAAACACGAGGCGUCGCGGAUAUCGGAAAAUCCAUGGUUGUUCGAAGGGGCGGAAGGUCGAGCGAGGGAAAGGGUGCCGUUGAAGUAAGUCAGUAACUCAACGGGAAUUCGCCGGGGGCUGGCCGGGGAUCGAUCAGCGCUGAUGUAAUUAUCCAAACGCUGAAUUUUUUAUCGCGGUGAAACAAUAACGUAUUUUCAGACCAAACAACAUCGGCGGCCGCGGAGACUCGCAGAAAACCGCGCCGCUACGCUCGCUCGCUCGUCCACUUGUGCUUUCUGUUUGCGUAACGUGUAAUAGAAUAAUCUGCGUUACGGGACGCAACUGCGGGGCAAAGUACGCGACCGCGCAUCCGUCUUUUGUUUUUUCGCGUGCGGGAUCCGCGCGCACGCGAGGACACUUCGCCCCGAUAACGCGCGAUUCGCCAUUUUCAU